rnacentral:rRNA from 1 species
AUUGAACGCUGGCGGCAUGCCUUACACAUGCAAGUCGAACGGUAACGGGCCUUCGGGUGCCGACGAGUGGCGGACGGGUGAGUAAUACAUCGGAACGUGCCCGAUCGUGGGGGAUAACGAGGCGAAAGCUUUGCUAAUACCGCAUACGAUCUACGGAUGAAAGCAGGGGACCGCAAGGCCUUGCGCGGACGGAGCGGCCGAUGGCAGAUUAGGUAGUUGGUGGGAUAAAAGCUUACCAAGCCGACGAUCUGUAGCUGGUCUGAGAGGAUGAUCAGCCACACUGGGACUGAGACACGGCCCAGACUCCUACGGGAGGCAGCAGUGGGGAAUUUUGGACAAUGGGCGCAAGCCUGAUCCAGCCAUGCCGCGUGCAGGAUGAAGGCCUUCGGGUUGUAAACUGCUUUUGUACGGAAAGAAAAGCCUUCUUUUAAUACAGGAGGGUCAUGACGGUACCGUAAGAAUAAGCACCGGCUAACUACGUG